rnacentral:lncRNA from 1 species
CUGCGCGUUUCCUCGAACACUAAGCAACCCUUCCAUCAUAUAAUACGCCCCUCUCUUCCCCCUCCCUCGUUCUCCCGCAUCCCCUUUGGUUUCGCCUUCUGCAUUCAUUUUGAUCCCCGUAGAUGAGUUACUAUGGUCAACAGCAGCCUCCUCCCCAAGGUACUACUCUCUCUUCCUCCUCUUAUUAGCGAGAGGACUCUGUUUCAAGUAACUUCUAGAGAUCACAUACUCUUCUAACACUCACUCUCACAUGCCAUCGUACAUCAAAACAAGAGUGUAAGCUUACAUCCCAACCCACACUAACAUUGUUCCUCCUCCAAUUAGCAGCCAUCAGAACAUGAGUGUCAAAGACAACAACAAAAAAUGAUUACUUAAUGUCAAGCAUUGUGAUAUGCGUUCAUCCUCCGACCCUUGCACCCUUCCAAUCCAUGUAUUAGCUAGUGAUGAUCUUACUGGAUUCUGUGGGUUGUGUUUUAACGUGCAGCUUACCCCCCACCACCCAGUGCUUACCCUCCCCCGGGGCAGACUUAUCCCAUGCCACCUCAGGUCGGCGAUCCGGUGAAGGAUGGAGGAGCUGUCGUUGCGCAACCAGUCUCGGCAGAGACGCAGAGCCGAGGAGAUGGCUUCUGGAGAGGAUGGUGACCGCAAACGUUUUCUUCUAGUGCUACUGAAUCUAUUUUGCUACUUUGAUCUGACUUCGACCUUCCUUUCCUGUUGCAGCUGCGCUGCGCUAUGUUGCUGCUGCCUUCUUGACAUGUGCUUCUGAGACCAGUGGAAUGGCAGCUGACCUCUCAAUGCAUACAUCGCUUGAGCAGUUUUAAGUUCUUGUUUAGCUUAUCUAUGUAAAUGUUGGACUUCAUUGGGAUGUAGGAAAUCCUUGAUGUGAUCUCUACUGUUCUACGGUGACAUGUACUGCUCAAGCUAGUUGCUUGUUUUACUAGAUGGGUAUGCUUCAGAUUGCUAUAAAAGGUGGCUCAUUGCAACUACAUGAGGCAGAUUACUUCGAUACAGCUCAAAUAUGAACUUUGUGAGAAUGAAAUAGAUGUACUAACUAGUGAGAUUAAACUUGAAUUCAUCUACAAAAUCUGUGUGGGUAAAAGGAGAAGAGGGAAAGAUCAUAACUUUACCACUCUUUCAAUUGGAACUCAUGAUCUGCACCAAGAAUUCUCAAACCGAAAGAUCAAACCUUUAGCGGCGGAAGGAUCAAACCGCGACCAGCCCUUCGCUCGGAGUUCAUGAAACACACCACGAAUCCCCGCCCACGCCCGCUUCACUUACCCAUCGUCAUCAGCCGCGUUCAGCAUCGUUCCAUCGGGUUCCACGCGCCGCUCUACUUCUUGACCAACGGAACCACCAUAUUUCCAGAACCCCAAAAAGGGAACGAUUCGGAAGAGGGGAUUCCACAGGGAUGUCACAAAAGAUCGGAGGCAAUUCGGAGUCGAUUCCCGGAAUCUGAUGCAGGGUUAGGGUUUCGAAAGAGCGAAGGUGUCGGAGGAAGAAGAAGAGAGAUUAAUUUG